rnacentral:tRNA from 1 species
CGAAGAGUAGUUAAAUUUAGAAUUUUGGCUUUGGGAGUCAGCGGUGGAGGUUAGAAUCCUCUCUUUUCGA